CCGCCACUGCGCCGGUGCCGCUGCCGCGGGCUCCGCGCCGGCGCGGGGGAUGCUCGGGGCCGCACCGGGACCCGCAGCACCCAGCCCACGCCGUGGUUUCCACACCCCCUAUUUCUGGGUAGCCGUGGUUAUGGAGUUCUCUUAAGCCAAGCAGCGCCAGCAUCCCUUGGAAAGUUUUCCCGCCCCAAAGGCAUCGGCGGCUCAGCUGGAGGGCUGGAGCAGAAGAAAGCGUGGCUUGUGCUGCUGAUGGAGCCAGCCUUUCUGGAAUGUGAAUAAGAGCUUUCACUUAAUGCACAUCGCUGCACUGCCUUGAUCACUGCAUUUGAUAAGCCUGCUGAAAUUAAAUAGGCAAGUUUUACAUUUAUGUGACACGUGGAAAUACAGAAAUAUUUAUGUUCUUACAUAUAUGUGUUCAUUAA
rnacentral:lncRNA from 1 species